rnacentral:tRNA from 1 species
GGGGAAGUAGCUCAGUUGGGAGAGCGCCGCCUUCGCAAGGCGGAAGUCAGGAGUUCAAGUCUCCCCUUCUCCACCA